GCCCGCCAUCUUCCCGCAUGCGCAGUGCGCCGCCCCCACUGCGCACGCCCGCCGCGGCCGCCGCGCUCCCACGCACUAACCCCCUCGCGGCGCCCGGAGCCCGGGAAAGCCCGGACGCGAAGUCCACGGAGAGGAUGGCGGAGGAGAGGAAGAGGUGGAGCCGGACCCCCAAAGAAGGGAACGGAGCCAGAGAAAAGAGGCGGCGGGGCGAAGGAACGCAGGCGCCGACACUCAACACCGCUGAGCGCGCGGCUGUGGAUUUAAUCUUGAGCUCCCUCCGGCCGCCCAGGGCUGAUGCUUAGUGAAUGCCGGUGUCGUGGUGGGCACAGGACAUAAUCACCGGAAUCUGCCACAGACUCAACCUCAAAGUCCAACAGAGGAAACAGAUGAAUAAACAGGACAUUUAAAGCUGGAGCUGGAAAGUGUGUUUUCAGAUCCCCGCCUCUCUCCUUAUUAAGAGGACAAGGCUUUAAGCAAGUUACUUAAAAAAAAAAAAAAA